CAUGAAGGAAGCCAGAGAAGAUAAGAGGCAGAGAUGAGGAGUGAGAACAUUCCAGGUCUCAGUACCAGGGUGAAAAAGAACACUAAUGCGUUAGUGCAUAUAGAUCCAAGGGAGGAGGGAUGCCAUUCACAGUUCCAGUAUGGAAAAGAAUGCUUGUGAUCAAAUACCAGUGCACAAGACAGGAAAGCACUUCCCCACUGCCUGUGUUUGACAUUCUGAAACUGGCUCAGCUUUGCCUGCAAGGUACUCCUUCCA
rnacentral:lncRNA from 1 species